rnacentral:rRNA from 1 species
UGCAAGUCGAGCGGUAGCACAGAGAGCUUGCUCUCGGGUGACGAGCGGCGGACGGGUGAGUAAUGUCUGGGAAACUGCCUGAUGGAGGGGGAUAACUACUGGAAACGGUAGCUAAUACCGCAUAAUGUCGCAAGACCAAAGUGGGGGACCUUCGGGCCUCAUGCCAUCAGAUGUGCCCAGAUGGGAUUAGCUAGUAGGUGGGGUAACGGCUCACCUAGGCGACGAUCCCUAGCUGGUCUGAGAGGAUGACCAGCCACACUGGAACUGAGACACGGUCCAGACUCCUACGGGAGGCAGCAGUGGGGAAUAUUGCACAAUGGGCGCAAGCCUGAUGCAGCCAUGCCGCGUGUGUGAAGAAGGCCUUCGGGUUGUAAAGCACUUUCAGCGGGGAGGAAGGCGUUAAGGUUAAUAACCUUGGCGAUUGACGUUACCCGCAGAAGAAGCACCGGCUAACUCCGUGCCAGCAGCCGCGGUAAUACGGAGGGUGCAAGCGUUAAUCGGAAUUACUGGGCGUAAAGCGCACGCAGGCGGUCUGUCAAGUCGGAUGUGAAAUCCCCGGGCUCAACCUGGGAACUGCAUUCGAAACUGGCAGGCUAGAGUCUUGUAGAGGGGGGUAGAAUUCCAGGUGUAGCGGUGAAAUGCGUAGAGAUCUGGAGGAAUACCGGUGGCGAAGGCGGCCCCCUGGACAAAGACUGACGCUCAGGUGCGAAAGCGUGGGGAGCAAACAGGAUUAGAUACCCUGGUAGUCCACGCCGUAAACGAUGUCGAUUUGGAGGUUGUGCCCUUGAGGCGUGGCUUCCGGAGCUAACGCGUUAAAUCGACCGCCUGGGGAGUACGGCCGCAAGGUUAAAACUCAAAUGAAUUGACGGGGGCCCGCACAAGCGGUGGAGCAUGUGGUUUAAUUCGAUGCAACGCGAAGAACCUUACCUGGUCUUGACAUCCACAGAACUUUGCAGAGAUGGUUUGGUGCCUUCGGGAACUGUGAGACAGGUGCUGCAUGGCUGUCGUCAGCUCGUGUUGUGAAAUGUUGGGUUAAGUCCCGCAACGAGCGCAACCCUUAUCCUUUGUUGCCAGCGGUCCGGCCGGGAACUCAAAGGAGACUGCCAGUGAUAAACUGGAGGAAGGUGGGGAUGACGUCAAGUCAUCAUGGCCCUUACGACCAGGGCUACACACGUGCUACAAUGGCAUAUACAAAGAGAAGCGACCUCGCGAGAGCAAGCGGACCUCAUAAAGUAUGUCGUAGUCCGGAUUGGAGUCUGCAACUCGACUCCAUGAAGUCGGAAUCGCUAGUAAUCGUAGAUCAGAAUGCUACGGUGAAUACGUUCCCGGGCCUUGUACACACCGCCCGUCACACCAUGGGAGUGGGUUGCAAAAGAAGUAGGUAGCUUAACCUUCGGGAGGGCGCUU